rnacentral:rRNA from 1 species
GUCGCGAGUAAGCGGCGAACGGGUGAGUACAACGUGGAUAAUCUACCCUAAGGUCUGGGACAACCCCGAGAAAUCGGGGCUAAUACUGGAUAAGACCACAGUAUCCAAGGAUACAGGGGUAAAAGAUUUAUCGCCUUUGGAUGAGUCCACGCCCCAUCAGGUAGUUGGUAAGGUAAAGGCUUACCAAGCCUAAGACGGGUAGCCGGCCUUAGCGGGUGAACGGCCACAUGGGGACUGAGACACGGCCCUGACUCCUACGGGAGGCAGCAGUGGGGAAUAUUGGGCAAUGGGCGAAAGCCUGACCCAGCGAUGCCGCGUGAGGGAUGAAGGCCUUCGGGUUGUAAACCUCUGUCAGGAGGGACGAUGGGACUUUGUCUUGACGGUACCUCCAGAGGAAGCCCCGGCUAACUCCGUGCCAGCAGCCGCGGUAAUACGGAGGGGGCAAGCGUUGCUCGGAAUUACUGGGCGUAAAGGGUCCGCAGGCUGUCAGGCAAGUUGGUUGUGAAAUCCCAAGGCUUAACCUUGGAAUUGCAUCCAAAACUGCCUGACUAGAGUCCAAGAGAGGUUGGCGGAAUUC